rnacentral:rRNA from 1 species
UACAGAGGGUGCGAGCGUUGUUCGGAAUUAUUGGGCGUAAAGGGCGCGUAGGCGGUGCGGUAAGUCACCUGUGAAAUCUCCUGGCUCAACUGGGAGCUUGCGGGCGAAACUGCCGUGCUGGAGUGUGGGAGAGGUGCGUGGAAUUCCUGGUGUAGCGGUGAAAUGCGCAGAUAUCAGGAAGAACACCAGCGGCGAAGGCGGCACUCUGGGCCGGAACUGACGCUGAGGAGCGAAAGCGUGGGUAGCAAACAGG